GAUGAACGCUAGCGGGAGGCUUAACACAUGCAAGUCGAGGGGCAGCAUAGGGUACAAUACUCUGAUGGCGACCGGCAAACGGGUGAGUAACGCGUAUGCAACCUACCCUGUACAGGGGGAUAACCCGGAGAAAUUCGGACUAAUAUCCCGUAAUAAUAUCCGGAGGCAUCUUUGGAUAUUUAAAGUUCCGACGGUACGGGAUGGGCAUGCGUAACAUUAGCUGGUUGGUAAGGUAACGGCUUACCAAGGCUAUGAUGUUUAGGGGUCCUGAGAGGGUGGUCCCCCCACACUGGUACUGAGACACGGACCAGACUCCUACGGGAGGCAGCAGUGAGGAAUAUUGGUCAAUGGGCGCAAGCCUGAACCAGCCAUCCCGCGUGCAGGAAGACGGCCCUAUGGGUUGUAAACUGCUUUUCCAGGGAGAGAAACUUACGCACGUGUUGCGUGACUGACGGUACCCUGGGAAUAAGCAUCGGCUAACUCCGUG
rnacentral:rRNA from 1 species